rnacentral:rRNA from 1 species
UACGUAGGGGGCAAGCGUUGUCCGGAUUUAUUGGGCGUAAAGCGCGUGUAGGCGGCUUUACAGGUCCGUUGUGAAAACUCGAGGCUCAACCUCGAGACGCCGGUGGAAACCGUAAAGCUAGAGUCCGGAAGAGGAGAGUGGAAUUCCUGGUGUAGCGGUGAAAUGCGCAGAUAUCAGGAAGAACACCCGUGGCGAAGGCGGCUCGCUGGGACGGUACUGACGCUGAGACGCGAAAGCGUGGGGAGCGAACGGG